GAUGAACGCUGGCGGCGUGCUUAACACAUGCAAGUCGAACGGGAUCCCAGGAGCUUGCUCCUGGGUGAGAGUGGCGAACGGGUGAGUAAUGCGUGACCGACCUGCCCCAUACACCGGAAUAGCUCCUGGAAACGGGUGGUAAUGCCGGAUGCUCCAGUUGACCGCAUGGUCCUCUGGGAAAGCUUUUGCGGUAUGGGAUGGGGUCGCGUCCUAUCAGCUUGAUGGCGGGGUAACGGCCCACCAUGGCUUCGACGGGUAGCCGGCCUGAGAGGGCGACCGGCCACAUUGGGACUGAGAUACGGCCCAGACUCCUACGGGAGGCAGCAGUGGGGAAUAUUGCACAAUGAGCGCAAGCCUGAUGCAGCGACGCCGCGUGCGGGAUGACGGCCUUCGGGUUGUAAACCGCUUUUGACUGGGAGCAAGCCCUUCGGGGUGAGUGUACCUUUCGAAUAAGCACCGGCUAACUA
rnacentral:rRNA from 1 species